CACGCAGGGGAGCCCGGCUGUGGUGCUGAUCUGGGAAAAAGACGAAAAGAUAAAAUCGGGAAAAUUCUCCCGUUUCUCUUAAGCAUGAGCCGGGCUUGUGCACUACAGGGGAGGAGGCAGCCAAAUAAACUUCUGGCUUAAUCCUCCAUUUUAGUGUCUUGCCAGAAGGUGCUGUAUUGCCACGAGACCCAUACAGCAUCAGGAGCUUUCAGGCAAGCCGCCUGUCGGGGUUACUGGGCAAUGACUACAGGAUUUGGGUUUGGGGUGGUCCUGUGUGGAGCCAGGGCUUGGACUCAAUGAUCCUCGUGGGUCCCCUCCAACCGGGGAUAUUCUGUGAUUCUGUGACUGCUGAUAACAUAAUUUGGGUGAAGAAAGUUCUGUGCUGUCAUCUAUCGUGGUGUGUAGGAUGCCUCGUGCUUUGCCUUUCUGUGAAGAAGUCUCACAGAUGAAACAGAAAAGCAAAAGAAACGGCAGACAAAAUGAGUUUUGUGGUAUAAAGGGGCACCUCCUACAUGGCGGGAUGACCUGACACGUCUUGUUGGCUGUGAAUUUUACGGCAUUCCAACUCCUUUCAGGAAGGUAACAAAGGUAGAGGAGUCGCUCCACCUCAGCGACCUUUCGGUCUGCACAUGCCGGUGUGACACAGCUCGGUUAUUCCCUCAGUAUGAUCAGAGUUGCUGGCUCCUUAAUGAGAAGAAGUAGUUUCCACAUCCAUUACUUAAAUAUGUUUCUGUUAUGGCUUUGAAUCAGCAGCAUGUAAAAUAAGCUGUGGAGCAGCAUAAAUAGAUAUUGCAGCACUGCCGAAACAGGCAGCUGAAGCUGGGAGUUCCCCAUGGCUCCUGCACAUCCCUGCUGGCCGUGCCGCAGGGGUGCCUGUCCUGCUGGGACAAGGACCAAGGACCUGCUGGCAUCCUGCCGGCCUUGAUUCACUGGGUCAGUCCCUCGUAAUUUCCCUAGGCAUCAGGCGUUAUUUGAACUCACGUUUUUCCCUUUUUGCAGCUCCUGGAGGGUUAUGGUAUUCAAUGUAUUUUCAGCAGUGAAUAAUAGGGUGUUUUGUGUUAUGAGUGGCAGGAGGACAGCAAUCUUUUUAAACUGCAAGCAAACAGGAUAUAUGCUAAAUGUGAUUGUUAAAAGAUGACUGAUAAAAAAUAGCGUGUACAUAUUUGGAAAACCAGAGAGAAAAUGAAGUGAAUGAAACCAAACAAACCCAAGACUACCAGCAGGGCAAGAAUUGCAGCUACAGCUUGUCUCCACAAAUUUGAGUGGCUCACGCAGCAAGCUCAGCCCAGGAGCAAAGGUCACUCCCUCGGUACAGCCUCUUCAUGCUGCUGGAAAUAAAGUGCUUCUCUGCCAUCCUCUGCUGGAACCAUCAGCACCCAGGCUCUGCUCCGUUCACCAGAGACGUCUUCCAUGUGUGCAGUCCCCAACACCAGCAGUCGUGUGUUAGACAUUUGCAUCCAUAGGUCCCUCAAGUUUCGUGUGAAUAAAGUCUGGUGUGAAUCAAUAGCCUUCCAAUGGACAGCUGGCAAUGGAGAGGUGACAGGCUUUAUGGACCUUCUGCACGUCGUCGGGUUCAGAAGUAACUCUGCAUCCCACCGCAGUCACAGAACCGACAGCAGCGCUGCCUGCGGUGUGCCCAAGCCUUAAAAGCUGCCUGAGGUCCAGGAAAUCUGGAGAUAAAGCCAACUCACUUCCAUUACUUUAAACACAUUUGAACGAGUGGUAUCAGCAGCCCGGACAUCUGCAGCUAACCCACUUCUACACUUCUAAAGUCCUUCCACAAGGCAUCAAGACUUCAAGCUUUUGAAGUACAGCUGCAGAACAUGCUGCUCCUCCUCAGUGGCAGGAAGUAUAAAUUGUAUUGUUCUGAGAGGGAAAAAAUCAGAAGGUGAAAAGCCUGACUAGUGUUCUGCUGUGGGAUUUGGUUCUUUGUAUUGUUCCACUCCUACUGCCUACCCUCCUUAUGAUCAAUCUGUAUAAAACCUGACCUAGUCCUUUGAAAAAAUUGAGAUGCUUACCCAAAGUCCAGCAGCACACAGUCAGGAGCCUGCCUAAUACUUAGAUAAGGAACAUCAAUCAAGCAGAAUUUGGGCUCCUUGGAACAAGACAGACACUGACAUACUGGGCUGAGCACAGCAGAAGACUGCCAAGGUGAUUAAAGAGCUGGAGGUGACGAGGCUGGGUUUGCUCAGCCCUGAGGAGAAGGCUCUGGGAGGAGCUGUCUUCAACUGCCUCACGGGAGGGUGCAAAGGCAGAGCCAGACACUCCUUGGAAGUGUAGCAGCGGGAUGAGAGGCAGCAGACACAGACUGGAAUUUUGGGAAUGGCCAUAAAAUACAGGAAACAUUUUGUCACUACAGUUACGGUCAAACACCAGAACUGGGCGCCCAAAGAGGCUGUGAAUCUCCAUCCUUGGAAAUGGUCAAACUGAGCAAGAUGAUGGACCGGCUGGCCUCUGGAAGUCCCUUCCACCUUAAACUGUUGUACUAUUUAACAACUGCUCUUUUAUGCCAGUGACUCCCUCUAGUCAGUCACAUAAGCCAAACAUCAAAGAUUUUGUUUUGUUUCCAAAUUCACCUGCCGAUGCCUUAUUUAUUUUUUUUACAUUUUUAAUCUGUUAAAACACAGAAUACCGAUGUAAAUCACAAGAAGGACUUUUUAAAACGGAUGUGAUGAUUGAGUACGUUGCUUUUAGUACCAUUUUAUCUGGAUUUUAACACACCUGUACACUACAUGAGACGAUACCAGUAGCUGAACUUGAAGAUGCAAAGCGUAUACUCCGGCACACCAUUUUAUUAGGUUGACAAAUCUUUUUGUUAGCAGUCAGUCACUGAAAACAAUCUGUACACAUCUAAUCUAGACAACAAAAAUAGCUGUACAGCUUUAACGCGAUAUGCCCCCUUUAUAUAGCUCGUUAUGCUCUGGAGAGAUUCAUUGUUCAAGUUCCCACAAAAACAAUUUUCGGCUUUAACAUAUAUUAAAAGUAACAUUACAUUCUGCUCUCAAAAGUAGAAAAAAUAACACUUUAAAUAUAAACUGGCUCCUAAGCUUAGACCGAGGCCUGUCAGGAAGAGAAUUUUGCACUUAACAGACAGUGCCUCCAACAUCAAGAGCUCUUCAAAGUGCUUGGCAGAGCGUGUGAACAUUAUCCACGCUUACUACAUUAGGAAACUAAGGCACGGAGGUCAACUGCCUUGCUCACUGUCACACGGCGGGCGAGUGGCGGAAUGAACACAACUCGGGCUUUUCGGUUAUCCAAUGUAACCACCGCAUCCCACUGCCACUGUUCAAGUGCAAUGGCUGAAGCAUUUCUGAGGAGCGAAACUCUUAAAGCAUACAGUAAUGGAAGGGGCAAUCCGGAGCCAGGCAAAGGCCGCAAUAAUUUCAACCCAACCCAAACCAAUUUGGUAUUCAAGAAAUCAAAAUGCACUUAAGGGAACGGUCACACAGGAAGUGAUUCUUUAACCCGCAGAGAGAAAGCUCAUUAGACGUAAGACAUAUGGCAUGAUCUUUGCAAAAAGUACCGGUUAUUGGAAGCUUGACAGUAGCUCAGGUAAUGUGAAAUCCAUCAGAGAAGCUGUACUUUCAGGUCAGCAGAGACAUCAACACUGUUCUUCCACCAGCAAGGCACACUUCCCUGGAAAGUCACGUGGAAAUGCAAAUUGCAGGGCAAGUACCUGCUCAGUAGGCAUGGAUGUGUAAGAGGCACACACAAAAAAGUAUGAAUCGCUUGUGAGGUAUGGACUAGAGAAAUACCAACUGGCGAUAAUUAAAAUGUCUAAAAUAAAUAAUAUUAAGAAAACUGAAAGUCACCCA